rnacentral:rRNA from 1 species
AUGAUUGCUACCUCUCUCCCGCCUCAUUUUUGGGCUGAGGCCGUCUCCACAUCCACCUAUCCUAUCAAUAUACAGCCUUCCGCUGCUCUACAGGGUGGUGUUCCUUUCGAGCGACUUUUUGAUCGUUCUCCCGAUUAUUCGAUGCUUCGCUCGUUUGGUUGUGUUUGCUAUGUUCUUCUUGCCCCUCGCGAACGCACCAAACUGACCGCUCAGUCUGUUGAGUGUGUCUUCUUAGGCUACAGUGAUGAGCAUAAGGGCUAUCGUUGUUGGGAUCCUAUCAAUCGUCGGAUGCGUAUCUCUCGAGACGUGACUUUUGAUGAGUCUCGUCCCUUCUACCCACGCCCAUCUUCCUCGACUUUUUCAGUGCAUGAUAUCUCUUUCCUCACUUUUCCUGACUCACCUAUCACCCCCGUCGAGCCUGUACCUCUUCGUUCCACUUCCUCUCCUUCUCCACCUCUAGUUGAUUUGCAGCCACCAUCCUCCCCGGUCUCCUCGCCUAGCAUGUCACCGGAUUCUACACCUUCAUCUCCGGUGACUUCUUCGUCGCCACCCCCCGAUUCUACCUUGACGAUUCCUCCUUCUAUUAUUCCAUCUUUUCCUCAGCAUUACACUCGUCGUCCAUGA